rnacentral:rRNA from 1 species
ACGGGAGGCAGCAGUGAGGAAUAUUGGUCAAUGGGCGAGAGCCUGAACCAGCCAAGUCGCGUGAAGGAUGAAGGUUCUAUGGAUUGUAAACUUCUUUUGUUCGAGGGUAAAGUGAGGGAUGCGUCCCUUAUUGCAAGUAUCGAACGAAUAAGCAUCGGCUAACUCCGUGCCAGCAGCCGCGGUAAUACGGAGGAUGCAAGCGUUAUCCGGAUUUAUUGGGUUUAAAGGGUGCGUAGGCGGUAUGGUAAGUCAGCGGUGAAAUGUCCACGCUUAACGUGGAACUUGCCGUUGAUACUGUCGUACUGGAAUUCGGUUGUCGUGGGAGGAAUGUGUAGUGUAGCGGUGAAAUGCAUAGAUAUUACACAGAACACCGAUUGCGAAGGCAUCUCACGAAGCCGCGAUUGACGCUGAGGCACGAAAGUGCAGGGGAUCAAACAGGAUUAGAUACCCUGGUA